UCAUCCCGAUCCGUUCGAUAUGGCAAUGAGCCCCGCGACCAUCUCGACCGUCCCAGCAUCACAACCGACCGAAACCCUAGCCACCUGCGCCGCCUAGCUCGCGAUCCGCUCCCUUCCCUGCCUCUUCUCCGCCGCCUCUUCGCAUCCUCCUCUCCGCCGCAUCCUGGCCGCCAUGAACCGGACCGAGCGGAUGUAGUGUUCCCUUCCUCGCCGGCGCUCGGUCCGUAGAUGCGACGCGCGAGAGGGAGGGAUGAGCUGCAGUGACCCACUCCCUUCUCUGCUUGGUCGCCGCCCUCUCCCUCCCCUGGUUGUCGCCUCUCUUUCCCCUCACCGCCUCCUCUCCUUCGCCAAGCGGAAUCAUCUCCCUUCCGAGGACGAAAUCCAUGGGGAACAGGAUCAACAGUGUGGAGGAUGCGGCCAUGGCAUGUGAAGUUGACCUCGCCGACGAGGAUGGAGAGGAACUCAUUGAUCCGGUUUGCAGCUUACCUUUAUAACGCGGUCAACGUACUGGGCGUGAACCCCGUCGUUGCAGGCUAGGGAAGUCGUGUGGGUGCAGUGAUGACGCACAACUUUUCCUCGCAUGGUGGCACUGCUUCGAUUGCCACCCACACAUAAAUGUUACUUGUGGACGUUCAACUUACGAUUUGAUCUGGAUGGUUCGCUAAGAUCAGAAAAUCAAAGGGCCACGAUCUGGAGAUGUUCGGUUUGUACAGAUUGUUUCCUUGGUUGCGGAAGAUUGCAGGUAUGCGAAGAAAGGUCCAUUGGAAAAUAUUUAUUUUUCUAUUUGUAUAUAGAUUGAUAUAAAGUGAAGAAUCCAUAUAUUGUGAAGAACAUUGGGUUUAUUGGAUUACCGUUCUUUCAGUACUAAAUGGCUCCUGCCAAAGGAAAGUACUGAUGAGUCUACUGCCUAAAUUUAUCAAGUAUACUGCUUCAAAGCAUGUGGUAUUUUAUCUAUGAAGUCAGAUGUGUUCAGUUACUCGGUAUUGCUUCAGGAGAUCAUUAGUCUGUGGGAUAUCAAUUGAAUGUAAACUAGCUAUCGCUUCCUACAAAUGAUGCCCACUUCAUCACACUUCGUAUAACAGGAGUUCUUUUCUCUGAUUUGGUUGUCAAAGUUUAUUCCAGAGCCAAUUUUUGUGCCAGCCACUUAUCCAAGCAAGAAAAAAGUUGGAAUGAACAAUCUACAGGGACUGAUGAUGAUGGUCUGGGUAAAGAUAAGAUGCAAAAGAAUCGCCGGUGAGUCUUAUGCAGUGGUAUCAUUAGAACUGUUGGUAAGAACCAAAAAAAUGUGUCUAAAUCAUUAAGCCAACAAGCCUGCACUUGUCAAACUUUCUUUUAGGUGACAUUAUUAUUUGAACAAUUUCAUGCCAUACGAGGUUCUUUGAUAAAAUUCUGUGAAGUUUUCCUUCCUUGAAUCUACAAUCAUUCGACUUCAUACUUAUUGUGAGCUGUAGGAAUGAGCUUGAACAAUUUUUACCUUUGUGUAUUUAUGUUAAUAUAUUGGCAUAAUUGAUGUUAUAAAGAGGGGUUAGGAUUUAGUACUGCACCUUGCAUUUGUUCUAAUAGAGAAGUUACUGGGGCCUACCUUGACUGCUGCAAUUUUCGAAGAGCUAAUUUACCAUGUCUGAUUAUUUAGCUUGCUCUAAUUAUAUUGGUAUAAUGUAAAAAUACAUGGCCUUUCCGUGGGAAUUAACUUGGAUUUUGCUAUUGCCUUACAUAACAUACCUGAAGUAAAGAAAUCAAGCCAUCAGCCUUCCUGGUUAAGUAACCUGACUAUUCUUAUCUGAAGGUGUGUGUUACAUCCUUGCCACUUUGAAUAUCCUUUGCAUGUUUUUUCUAAUAAAAUUCAGCUGCCUUUAUUGUUUUGCUGUUAUAAUGCACCAAGGCAAAAGGGCCAUGAUUAUCUCUGAAGAGGUUAUAUGCCGUUAAAUAUUGAGUUUUUUUAUAUUCGCUAUUGCAAGCUAUCCAAGUUAGAUCUUUGCGACUGCUCCUAGGUGCCCCCAUUAUAAUGUAUAAUGUUCUAUUUGAUCAGUCUAAUUUCAGUUUGGUGCUGAGGGAGUGUAAUAGAAUUAGGUGGCAUUAAACGUAUUAGUACACAAUGGACCAAUUUGCAAAUUGUGUUUGCGAGACCUAUUGUUUUGAGUAAAAUUUACUGCCGAAAAAAUUAAAGAAUAUUUUGUGUGAAGAGGAUGAUUUAGGGAAGGUACGGUUGUACAAACAUAUAUCUAAGACUACGGUAGUCUAAAAAAAAUAUCGAGGAUUUUGUGUUUUUACUAUCCUAGCUUCUUCUCUUAUUCACAUCUCUUAGCCAAUAGCUCAUCCAGCUCAUCCACCGACCCGCGAAUCUCCUCCAUCGUUGCCCCAAACUCCUUUGCUUGACAUCUGACCUUUCUUCAUGCAGGCUCUCUAUUUCCUUGGGUUAUUUCUACAGCACAGGCCCGUCUUGGCAUGCCAGGAAGGGGUCUAGAUAGAAGAAGGGGAGGCAUGAGUACGAUGAGGGGAUGAGGUUGCACGCGCACCACAUGUCAGCGCUUAAUAAGUUGACUUUGUUACUAUGUGGGAUCCUACGGCAAACCAAUCCAUGUAAGCAGAAGAGGUGAAAGCUUACUAGGAGCUUGACUCGGGUGGAAUAGUUGAUAGAUAUCUGAAACCAAGCUGAAUUAGAGGAAGUAAGUCCAAGCUGUGUUCUUUUUAUUGUGUUCUUGCUGCAGUUUUAGUCACAAGAGAAAGGUAAAUCAUGGCGACUGAUAUUACAUUCAGUGGUUUCUAAUUUCUUUGCAUGAAAGAUGCGUGAACCAGAAAAUGCAAGAAGCAGCUCAGCGGUUUAGCUUAAAUGUGAUGGCUAUCUAGGUGAAUCACUUUGGGCCUAUGUGGAGAUUAGUUCAAAGAAUCAAAUUUCAUUGAAGGCAUGCUAAAUCGAAGCAAUUGGCUAGAAACUCAGUUUCUCUUUGAUGUUUAAGAAGCAAACUCUUAGAAAUAGCUUAGUGGACAAGAGCUAUAUCAAAAUUAGCAAAGGCAUCCAUAUAUUGCCAAUUUUGUUUUGGUUCUAGACUGUCAUUUGUGUAUCAUGGAAAUAAGGAGUUGUGUUUAUGCGUGUUGUAGAUCACCGGAUUUUGGAUUUGCUCUAUUGUGGGGUUACGAAGUGAUGUAAGGGCACUCGACUUUUCGAUUUUCUCCAAGCAAUGA